AUUCCGGUUGAUCCUGCCGGAGGUCAUUGCUAUUGGAGUCCGAUUUAGCCAUGCUAGUUGUACGAGUUGAGACUCGUAGCAGAUAGCUCAGUAACACGUGGCCAAACUACCCUAUAGAUCCAGACAACCUCGGGAAACUGAGGCUAAUCCGGAAUAGGGCUCUCAUCCUGGAGUGGAGAGAGCCUGAAACGCUCCGGCGCUAUAGGAUGUGGCUGCGGCCGAUUAGGUAGACGGUGGGGUAACGGCCCACCGUGCCAGUAAUCGGUACGGGUUGUGAGAGCAAGAGCCCGGAGACGGUAUCUGAGACAAGAUACCGGGCCCUACGGGGCGCAGCAGGCGCGAAACCUUUACACUGCACGCCAGUGCGAUAAGGGGACUCCAAGUGCGAGGGCAUAUAGUCCUCGCUUUUUGCGACCGUAAGGUGGUCGCGGAAUAAGUGCUGGGCAAGACCGGUGCCAGCCGCCGCGGUAAUACCGGCAGCACGAGUGAUGACCGCUGUUAUUGGGCCUAAAGCGUCCGUAGCUGGCCGCACAAGUCUAUCGGGAAAUCUCUCCGCUUAACGGAGAGGCGUCCGGUGGAAACUGUGUGGCUUGGGACCGGAAGACCAGAGGGGUACGUCUGGGGUAGGAGUGAAAUCCCGUAAUCCUGGACGGACCACCGGUGGCGAAAGCGCCUCUGGAAGACGGAUCCGACGGUGAGGGACGAAAGCUCGGGUCACGAACCGGAUUAGAUACCCGGGUAGUCCGAGCUGUAAACGAUGUCUGCUAGGUGUGACACAGGCUACGAGCCUGUGUUGUGCCGUAGGGAAGCCGUGAAGCAGACCGCCUGGGAAGUACGUCCGCAAGGAUGAAACUUAAAGGAAUUGGCGGGGGAGCACUACAACCGGAGGAGCCUGCGGUUUAAUUGGACUCAACGCCGGACAUCUCACCAGCAUCGACAAUGUGCAGUGACGGUCAGUAUGAUGAGCUUACCUGAGCCAUUGAGAGGAGGUGCAUGGCCGCCGUCAGCUCGUACCGUGAGGCGUCCUGUUAAGUCAGGCAACGAGCGAGACCCGCACCCUUAAUUGCCAGCAGCACCCUUGUGGUGGCUGGGUACAUUAAGAGGACUGCCAGUGCCAAACUGGAGGAAGGAACGGGCAACGGUAGGUCAGUAUGCCCCGAAUGUGCUGGGCGACACGCGGGCUACAAUGGCCAAGACAGUGGGAUGCAACGCCGAAAGGCGACGCUAAUCUCCGAAACUUGGUCGUAGUUCGGAUUGAGGGCUGAAACUCGCCCUCAUGAAGCUGGAUUCGGUAGUAAUCGCGCCUCAGAAGGGCGCGGUGAAUACGUCCCUGCUCCUUGCACACACCGCCCGUCAAAGCACCCGAGUGGGGUCCGGAUGAGGCCCGGUUUCCGGGUCGAAUCUGGGCUCCGCAAGGGGGCUUACGUCGUAACAAGGU
rnacentral:rRNA from 1 species